UACGUAGGUGGCAAGCGUUAUCCGGAAUUAUUGGGCGUAAAGCGCGCGCAGGCGGUUUCUUAAGUCUGAUGUGAAAGCCCACGGCUCAACCGUGGAGGGUCAUUGGAAACUGGGGAACUUGAGUGCAGAAGAGAAAAGCGGAAUUCCACGUGUAGCGGUGAAAUGCGUAGAGAAUGUGGAGGAACACCAGUGGCGAAGGCGGCUUUUGGUCUGUAACUGACGCUGAGGCGCGAAAGCGUG
rnacentral:rRNA from 1 species